GGGCACCAUUGUCUCCACUCCUCAUCUCCAAUCACAGGCCCCAGCAGGGGGGAAUCGAGAAAGGAGGAAAACUUCAAAGAAACUCAUGGCAGGGGGAAGAACCUGAAAUGACCGACUCGGUGUAGGUCCACCUCGUGCCAACGUUGGCAGUAUACACAGACCCCUUGGAGGUUUCUUGGCUCCGAGGAUCAUCCAGAUGUGACGGGAAUAAAAAUGGAAACCAA